rnacentral:tRNA from 3 species
GGCCCUAUGGUCAAGCGGUUAAGACACCGCCCUUUCACGGCGAUAACCCGGGUUCGAGUCCCGGUAGGGUCA